GAUGAACGCUGGCGGCGUGCCUAAUACAUGCAAGUCGAGCGAACGGACGAGAAGCUUGCUUCUCUGAUGUUAGCGGCGGACGGGUGAGUAACACGUGUAUAACCUACCUAUAAGACUGGUAUAACUUCGGGAAACCGGAGCUAAUACCGGAUAAUAUUUUGAACCGCAUGGUUCAAAAGUGAAAGACGGUCUUGCUGUCACUUAUAGAUGGAUCCGCGCUGCAUUAGCUAGUUGGUAAGGUAACGGCCUACCAAGGCAACGAUGCAUAGCCGACCUGAGAGGGUGAUCGGCCACACUGGAACUGAGACACGGUCAAGACUCCUACGGGAGGCAGCAGUAGGGAAUCUUCCGCAAUGGGCGAAAGCCUGACGGAGCAACGCCGCGUGAGUGAUGAAGGUCUUCGGAUCGUAAAACUCUGUUAUUAGGGAAGAACAUAUGUGUAAGUAACUGUGCACAUCUUGACGGUACCUAAUCAGAAAGCCACGGCUAACUACGUG
rnacentral:rRNA from 1 species